rnacentral:rRNA from 1 species
AGAGUUUGAUCAUGGCUCAGGAUGAACGCUAGCGGCAGGCUUAAUACAUGCAAGUCGAGGGGCAGCAGGUUUGUAGCAAUACAAAUGCUGGCGACCGGCAAACGGGUGCGGAACACGUACACAACCUUCCUUUAAGUGGGGAAUAGCCCAGAGAAAUUUGGAUUAAUACCCCGUAACAUUAUGAUGUGGCAUCACAUUAUAAUUAUAGCUCCGGCGCUUAAUGAUGGGUGUGCGGCUGAUUAGGUAGUUGGCGGGGUAACGGCCCACCAAGCCUGCGAUCAGUAACUGGUGUGAGAGCACGACCAGUCACACGGGCACUGAGACACGGGCCCGACUCCUACGGGAGGCAGCAGUAAGGAAUAUUGGGCAAUGGAGGCAACUCUGACCCAGCCAUGCCGCGUGGAGGAUGAAGGCCCUCUGGGUUGUAAACUUCUUUUAUUUGGGACGAAAAAGGGCUUUUCUAAGUCAACUGACGGUACCAGAUGAAUAAGCACCGGCUAACUCCGUGCCAGCAGCCGCGGUAAUACGGAGGGUGCAAGCGUUAUCCGGAUUCACUGGGUUUAAAGGGUGCGUAGGUGGGUUGGUAAGUCAGUGGUGAAAUCCCCGAGCUUAACUUGGGAACUGCCAUUGAUACUAUCAGUCUUGAAUAUUGUGGAGGUCAGCGGAAUAUGUCAUGUAGCGGUGAAAUGCUUAGAUAUGACAUAGAACACCAAUUGCGAAGGCAGCUGGCUACACAUAUAUUGACACUGAGGCACGAAAGCGUGGGGAUCAAACAGGAUUAGAUACCCUGGUAGUCCACGCCCUAAACUAU